CCCUUAGACACUCUAGGCGGCACGCGCGCUACAAUGGGCGGGCGAACGUGUUACUGCCACUGAAAAGUGGGGUGAAUCACGAAUCCUUGCCCGUGAAUGGGAUAGUUUGUUGCAAUUUUCGGACUUGAACUAGGAAUCCCUUGUAAGCAUGCUCAAGAAUAGCGUGUUGAAUACGUCCCUGCCGUUUGUACACACCGCCCGUCGUUUCUUCCGACUGAUACUCAUUGUGAGUUGCAAGGAUCCUUUAUUGGAAAAUUGCCGCGAAUGCUUUGUAUUGGAGGAAGAAAAAGUCGUAACA
rnacentral:rRNA from 1 species